rnacentral:lncRNA from 1 species
ACUGUUCCUCUCUCUCUCUCUCUCUCUCUCUCAUUCUUUCCCCCUCUCCCCCACCCACUGAAACCAACUCUAUCCUUCCAUAGAAGACUUCUGUUUUCAAUAUUAAGUCAAAGCACAUUAGCAUGGGUUUGAAGGUGGGAAUACCACAUGCCUGUGAGGUGUGUUCCCUACAGACUCGACUCAGGGCUGGAAUUGAUGGAAAAAGAAGUUUAUAAACAAGCAACCCAAUUUCUCAACUUAUUCGAGAAGCUGCCUAGAAGUGAAGCUACAAAAGCCAGACGAGUUUGGCUUGCAAUUUCCAACGGUGUUGUUGAAACCUGGGACGUGAUCAGUUAGAAGAGGACGCCCCAAAUAUGCGCUCUCGUUCUACACCGAGAGCUGGUUGUGCAAUUGGCUGAUUAGCGUUUUUGCGCCAGUCCCCAGAUAAUUUUUUGUGGGCAAAAUAAAAACUACAUUCAACACAGCGCGAUUCUUUCCUUGAUAACUACCCAAGAGGGUUAGAGCAGUUUGGGGGGGGGGUUGUUGUUAUUUUCAAACGUUCUUCCUUAUUUCCCGCGAAAUAAAUGUCUAUAAUAGAUAUUCAAAUAAUACAGAGCAGAGCGUGAGGUUAGAGCAAUGGAGAAGCAGAAGAAGUAAAUCAAAAUCCUUGAGCUAGAAAUCUCUGAGAACCGUUUAACAAUGUAGUUACCUCCCGGCCCCCGGUCGUCGGCGGCUCCCGGCGGGGAGCGCCCCGCGCGGACCAGCUGCCCUCGGCCGCGGGGGC